GAUUAUGGCCCAUUCCUGCCUCGGGGCCCUUUGCAGUUCCCUCUCCUGGAAUAUUCCACACCCCAGUGUUUCUGGGGCUUGUCUCUCACUCCACAGGGGCCUCUGUUCAUAGCAUCUCAAAGAGCCUCUUCCUUCUAUCCUUUGUCCUCCUCCCUUUCUUUCAGAGCCCAAGUCACCACCUUCAGGUUCUAUUAUACAUGUGACAUCGUCUGGCUCCGGACAGAGCAGUGUCUGGAACACACCUUCGCUAGGAGGUAUGGAACAAACAAAAGAAGACAAUUACCAAGUGGGAUAGUGAAUAAAAGAUACAGGAAGUCUACAGAAAGACACAGGAAGAGGAGGCCACACCUAAAUGCUGGCAAGGGAGCAGGCAACAGGGUCAGACGCCAAGCCUCAGACCCCUCCUGGAUACGAACCAUCCCCUGCCUCAUCAGAGCCUGGGAAGAUUUCCUACUCGUGAGGCUAACGAAUCGCUCAGAACACAACCAUCUCAUUAAGCAAUUAGCUCUGGGAGCGCCAAGGCAAGGAAGUGACCUCACUGGCCGCUCGACAAGACACCGCCCUGCCGCUGGGGAGGAAGGUAACAGGGUAAUCAUGACCAUGGUGGGAGGGACAUUGAUGGUGAUGUCAAGUGACGGAAAAGGUGACGGGUGUCAGAUCUCUGUGAUGGUGGAGGAGAUGCUGGGGCUGGGAACUGACUUGAUGGUGGUGCAGGGGAUGGUUGAUGGUGGUGGCAGAUCACAGCGGUGAUGGCAAGGUGACAUUGGUAGUGAUGACUGACAGGGUAGACCCUGUGGCUGGGCUCCCUCAGCCUCCAUCCCAUCCUCCUCAAUGACAGGGAAGUUGGAAAGUUAGCAACGACAUAGCCCUCCCUUGUGGCGUUUACAUGUGGAUUCACUGGGGCAGAAUCUGGAUGGCAGAAGCGAGGCGGAGUCCUUUCCAAGCUUUGGUUUUCUAAUUUCUAAUAAUAGUAGAGCACUGCUGGAGUUCCUGUUGUGGUGCAGCGGAAACGAAUCCGACUAGGAACCAUGAGGUUGCGGGUUCGAUCCCUGGCCUCACUCAGUGGGUUAAGGAUCCAGCGUCGCCAUAGCUGUGGUGUAAGUCACAGAUGCGGCUCGGUUCCCACAUUGCUGUGACUGUGGUGUAGG
rnacentral:lncRNA from 1 species